GACGAACGCUGGCGGCGUGCUUAACACAUGCAAGUCGAACGGGCCUGUCUUCUUUUUUGGGGGGUGGGUUGAGUGGCGAACGGGUGAGUAUCACGUGAGUCACCUGCCCUUCUGUCCUGGAUAACCGCUUGAAUGGGCGUCUAAUACGGGGUGGUCCGGUUGUUCCGCAUGGGCUGGUCGGGAUAGAUUCACUGUUUUUGGUGUUUCGGCGGGGUCUGGGCUCGCGGCCUAUCAGCUUGUUGGUGGGGUGUUGGCCUUCCAAGGCGGUGACGGGUAGCCGGCCGGAGAGGGUGGGCGGCCAGAGUGGGACUGAGAUACGGCGCAGACACCUGCGGGAGGCAGCAGUGGGGGGUAUUGCAGAAGGGGCGGAAGCCUGAUGCAGCGACGUCGCGUGAGGGAUGGAGGCCUUCGGGUUGUGAACCUCUGUUUCCGGUGGUGAAGGCCCUGUCCGUGUGGUGGGGUUGACGGUAGCCGGGGAUGAAGCGCCGGCUAACUACGUG
rnacentral:rRNA from 1 species